AAAGCCCUCUCCCAACGCUCCGACGUCCCUUUUCCCAGCCGCCGUGCAGGUGUAGCUUCGUGCGCCGCUGUCUCAGACCUGCUGCAAGUCACGCGCAUUCUUCCACUUACCCUACCGUAGCUUGGCCGCCACCGGCCCCUCACUCGCCCGGGCUGCCUCCCGAGGCUGAGGGAUGUUGAGCGCGGCUCUCAGUUGCCGGGCCUCCCGACCUGCUGGGACCGAGGUCCAGAAGGCCUGGUCGGCCGCAUGCGCGAUGAGAGGAGCCGGACCCCGAGAGGGCCGCGCCUGCUCCCGCCUCGGCCCGCGCUGUGACGGAUGUGCCAGAUGAAGAUUCCAGGAGGACUCUGAGGUUGAGCUUUCUGGUGAGGAUUCUGUGGUCAUGACUGUGCUGGAACACAACCAUCUCAGGACCCGGUAGCUUGCCCCCAAGUGUCCUGGCAGUAUCUGCUACUGAAGAAUCUGAAGUUACCAGGUUGUUGCUGUGCUUUAGAUAAGAUCUGUUACCAGUAAAGCUGUCCUUAUCUGUGAUUAUGGAUCUAUAGUUGGGAGACAGACCUUGUGGGAAGAGGCAAGCUAAAAGACAACAGGUUAUUUUCAGUGGAAAACCAUGACCUCUGUAUUUCUGCUAAUGCUGGCAUGUGGUAUGUAAGUGACCAAUAAAAGACUUAAA